UACGUAGGGUGCAAGCGUUAAUCGGAAUUACUGGGCGUAAAGCGUGCGCAGGCGGUUUUGUAAGACUGUCGUGAAAUCCCCGGGCUCAACCUGGGAAUGGCGAUGGUGACUGCAAGGCUAGAGUUUGGCAGAGGGGGGGUAGAAUUCCACGUGUAGCAGUGAAAUGCGUAGAUAUGUGGAGGAACACCGAUGGCGAAGGCAGCCCCCUGGGUCAAGACUGACGCUCAUGCACGAAAGCGUGGGGAGCAAACAGG
rnacentral:rRNA from 1 species